GCGUGUGCACACACUUAGAUACGUAGAUUUGGUUGCCCACUUGCUAUUUUUGUUGACUGAUUCUGCAAUUGGCAAGAAGCUCGUCCAAGUGGAGGACUUAUCGUUUCCUGAGGAGAGGGGUCCAAGAAUCGCGUUCUUCAAUCUCAUUAACUGAAGGAUCUCAGCUGUUGAACGAAUUCGGUGGAGCAGAUGAAGCCAAGUGGUAGGUUAGAUGUGACCUGUUGUUCAGCUGAAUGUUAACUCUGACCUGUUGGCUGUGAUAUUAACCGAAUGAUACUGGUGGACUUGGAGUUCAGAUAGAGAGGAGAGACGGGUUUGUAGGUUCCACCUAACCUGCGGGGUUCACCAAAAAAUUUCUCCUGCUCUCUCCGCCCCGAUCCUUCUGCACCAUGAGGAGAAUCUUCCCCCCCCCCCCUCUCUAUAUUAGUUUCCUAUUUGUUUGUUGUUUAUGAAUGUUGUAGACCAUUCGUUAGUAUAUGUAGAUUGUAGAGAGUGCACAUGCUACGUUGUGGCGCAUCAAGAAAAAGCAUGAGCAAAGAGUGAACAAAGGAAUGCAAUAGGUUAGUAAAUUGUUUUCUAUCCCAAUUAUAUAUGCUUGUUACUUUGAUUGUUCUAUAAUCGAUGUAUAACCGUAAAAAUUACUAGUCAAUUCAUGCAAGACAAAGUAAAUAUAA